rnacentral:lncRNA from 1 species
GGCACAGUCGCGCGGCGCGGCGUUCCGCGUGACCCUGCGGUUAAAACCCGCGCGCUGCAGCAUCGCGGAAAACGGGAUUCGCCUCAUUUGAAACUUGAGGAAAAUCUCUAAACACUUUCAUUUUGAUAGAAACCAUUUCCGCCGCUGACGUGCGUCUACGCCCAUCAUUUCAGCUGACACGUUGCUGUAACGUCUCCUCCGUUUCAUGCUCUUUCGAACCCUGUCAGCUGCGGGAAGGAACUUCUAAACUAAAAGCUGGCAAGACUCAGCAGAAAAAAAAUAUCGAAAGCUGCUUCUGCUGCCCCAGCUUCACUCAGGCCCUGGCUGCUCCUUCACUGGUCUACACUGCUGCCUCCUGGAACCACCCACUCUGCAACCAGGGUACCCAGAUACAACAAACAAAAACGCAGCAAACAAAAACACAGGGUGCCCAGCUCAACAGGAAGUUUGGAGAAGCAGUGACUGAUUUUUUAGUCUCCCGACCUGGGGUACAGCGAGAAGGAGGAGACGGAGGCAGACCGGCACGGGGUGGUCAGGGACAGCGGUGCUGACACACGGCUGCUCAAAGAUGACUUGGAACUCGAGGCCCAGCUCGUUAUUCUGGGGGUGACUGGCUCCCAGUGUCUGGACGGGUCUGAGCCCCACCACAGCUGGCCUGGACUGGACUGGAAACCGUGC